AUUGAACGCUGGCGGCAUGCUUUACACAUGCAAGUCGAACGGUAACAGGCCGCAAGGUGCUGACGAGUGGCGAACGGGUGAGUAAUGCAUCGGAACGUGCCCAGUCGUGGGGGAUAACGCAGCGAAAGCUGUGCUAAUACCGCAUACGAUCUAUGGAUGAAAGCGGGGGACCGUAAGGCCUCGCGCGAUUGGAGCGGCCGAUGCCAGAUUAGGUAGUUGGUGGGGUAAAGGCCUACCAAGCCGACGAUCUGUAGCUGGUCUGAGAGGACGACCAGCCACACUGGGACUGAGACACGGCCCAGACGCCUACGGGAGGAAGCAGUGGGGAAUUUUGGACAAUGGGCGCAAGCCUGAUCCAGCAAUGCCGCGUGCAGGAAGAAGGCCUUCGGGUUGUAAACUGCUUUUGUACGGAACGAAACGGUCUGGGUUAAUACCCUGGGCUAAUGACGGUACCGUAAGAAUAAGCACCGGCUAACUACGUGCCAGCCGCCGCGGUAAGAC
rnacentral:rRNA from 1 species